rnacentral:rRNA from 1 species
UACAGAGGGGGCAAGCGUUAUUCGGAAUUAUUGGGCGUAAAGGGCGCGUAGGCGGCCUGACAAGUGGAAGGUGAAAUCCCUCGGCUCAACUGAGGAACUGCCCUCCAAACUGUUUGGCUUGAGACCGGGAGAGGUGAGUGGAAUUCCUGGUGUAGCGGUGAAAUGCGCAGAUAUCAGGAAGAACACCGGUGGCGAAGGCGGGUCUCUGGGCCGAUACUGACGCUGAGGAGCGAAAGCGUGGGGAGCGAACAGG